UACAGAAGGUGCGGGCGUUAAUCGGAAUUACUGGGCGUAAAGCGUGCGUAGGCGGUCGUGUAAGUCGGGUGUGAAAGCCCCGGGCUCAACCUGGGAAUUGCAUUCGAGACUGCACGGCUGGAGUGCGGAAGAGGGAAGCGGAAUUUCCGGUGUAGCGGUGAAAUGCGUAGAUAUCGGAAGGAAGAUCAGUGGCGAAAGCGGCUUCCUGGUCCAGCACUGACGCUCAGGAACGAAAGCGUGGUGAGCAAACAGG
rnacentral:rRNA from 1 species